UUUAUGGAGAGUUUGAUCCUGGCUCAGGAUGAACGCUGGCGGCGUGCCUAAUACAUGCAAGUCGAGCGAACAGACGG
rnacentral:rRNA from 1 species